UUGGAUCUGCAAUUUUUAUCACUUGCAUGAGUCAGGUGAGACAUAAUACUCAUACAAGUUAUGUGAAGCAAUUUUAUUAUUCACACAUAGGCGGUAAGGGGAAGCAGAGCCCUAGAAUUCAUGAUGAGCUUUUCUGAAGCUCAGAAAAGCUGCCCAGGGUGUCUGGCAUCUUAUGUGUGCCCCACCUGCACUGCAGCUGAAAACAGUGUACCUUGGGUUUUAUAUCCCAGGGAUAACAUAAUUUGCCAAGCUAAAAUGCUGAAGGACAUCUUGUUCCAGGAGGGGCAGGAAUAGAGCCUGUUCCUUCUUAUCUCGGCAAGCUGCACUGCCAGCAUAUUCUCUAUGUUUAUGUUUGAGAACCUCACAUGAGAAAGGGGGAGAGAACUGGGUCAGUCCAAGGUCACCCGGAGCUCUGUCCUGCACACAUACCUGCCUUUCUUGAGGUGUUGCUUGAAAUAACAGUUCUAUACCUGCUAUUUGACCAUUAUACUGAUAUCAAUCUCCAGUUCCACUAAUACCUAUUGUAUAGAUGACUUCAUGUAAGUAGAUAAUUAAGAAGAUAAAAUGCAUGCAAAACAAAUACUCCCAAUUUUGUGCCUAAACAUGAUGCCCAGAAGAGAUUUUUAAAGGUUUUCUCUUUUCAUACACAAAUGGACAAUGCAAUUUAACAUGUUUUGCUAGUCACAAGAAAAUGUUUUACGUCGACAUCAUGACUUUUAUGCCACAAAACCAUUCUCACGUCUUGGACUCUGUAGAAAUAAAUAUUUACCAAUCACACUGAGGAUGCACCAGCUUGAUGGCCCAGGGAAUCAACAUCUCAGCACAUUCUUUAGCCAUCCAAAACACCGUAAUUUGGGGUUCUUUAGCAUAGCCAGUUUUGUUGGAAAAAUUCGCUCAGUUAUGUCCAAAAAUCAGUUGAUUAAAAGUAUUUUUACAUAUAUCAGAAUAAAAUACCGAUAUUCUUCCAUCUCCCCUUUAGUUACACUUCUGAACCCUAUUCAGGUUGCCAAGUCAGAAACUUGUGUGUCAUCAUAGACCCUUUCCUCUUCCUCUCCAUUUUUCCAAUAGAAGAGAAUUUUUGAAGUCAUAAGAUUUCAAUCUGGUGCACAUUUUUUCAUUCAUAUUCUCCUUUACAUCUUCACUGCUAUUACUCUGGUUCUGAUGUUGACCAUCUCUCUGUAGACCAUUGGAAUGACUCCCAGCUGAAGGCUUCCACUCCAAGGUUUAGAACACUUCAUUCUUACACUUGCAGUUUCCAAGGGUAUCUACAUGUUCAGCAGAUGGUUUGAAGUUAAGGACAUACCUGUUCCUAGAUGUCUCUUGUAAUUGCCUGCUGUUUUUUUGUGAUUUGUCUCACACGAUUUUUCAGUCACUUCCUCUCCAUUUCACAGUUCAGAUAAGGUGGUCUUCAACUGGUGAAGUGAAGUCCAUGUUGCCCAGGCUGGUCUUCAACUCCUGGGCUCAAGGAAUCCUCCUGCCUCAGCUUCUCAAAGUGCAGGGAUUUCAGGUGUGAGCCACCACACCCGACCUGGAA
rnacentral:lncRNA from 1 species